ACGGCUGGAACGGCCGCUAAUACCCCAUAUGCCGAGAGGUGAAAUGAAUUUCGCCUGAGGAUGAGCUCGCGUCUGAUUAGCUAGUUGGUGGGGUAAGAGCCUACCAAGGCUUCGAUCAGUAGCUGGUCUGAGAGGAUGAUCAGCCACACUGGGACUGAGACACGGCCCAGACUCCUACGGGAGGCAGCAGUGGGGAAUUUUCCGCAAUGGGCGAAAGCCUGACGGAGCAACGCCGCGUGAGGGAUGAAGGCCUCUGGGCUGUAAACCUCUUUUCUCAAGGAAGAAGAUCUGACGGUACUUGAGGAAUAAGCCACGGCUAAUUCCGUGCCAGCAGCCGCGGUAAUACGGGAGUGGCAAGCGUUAUCCGGAAUUAUUGGGCGUAAAGCGUCCGCAGGCGGCCUUGAAAGUCUGCUGUUAAAGCGUGGAGCUUAACUCCCUUUCAGCAGUGGAAACUACCAGGCUAGAGUGUGGUAGGGGCAGAGGGAAUUCCCGGUGUACCGGUGAAAUGCGUAGAUAUCGGGAAGAACACCAGUGGCGAAGGCGCUCUGCUGGGCCAUAACUGACGCUCAUGGACGAAAGCCCGGGGAGCGAAUGGGAUUAGAUA
rnacentral:rRNA from 1 species